rnacentral:tRNA from 1 species
GCUGCUGUCAGCUCAGUCGGUAGAGCAUGAGACUCUUAAUCUCAGGGUUGUGGGUUCGAGCCCUACAUUGGGCA